GAUGAACGCUGGCGGCGUGCUUAACACAUGCAAGUCGAACGGAAAGGCCCAAGCUUGCUUGGGUCCUCGAGUGGCGAACGGGUGAGUAACACGUGGGUGAUCUGCCCUGCACUUCGGGAUACGCCUGGGAAACUGGGUCUACUACCGGAUAGGACCACAUUUUGGAUGGUGUGGUGGAAAGUUUUUCGGUGUGGGAUGAGCUCGCGGCCUAUCAGCUUGUUGGUGGGGUAAUGGCCUACCAAGGCGUCGACGGGUAGCCGGCCUGAGAGGGUGUACGGCCACAUUGGGAAUGAGAUACGGCCCAGACUCCGACGGGAGGCAGCAGUGGGGAAUAUUGCACAAUGGGCGCAAGCCUGAUGCAGCGACGCCGCGUGGGGGAUGACGGCCUUCGGGUUGUAAACUCCUUUCGCUAGGGACGAAGCGUUUUUGUGACGGUACCUGGAGAAGAAGCACCGGCUAACUACGUG
rnacentral:rRNA from 1 species